rnacentral:misc_RNA from 1 species
UCACCCCUCAAGCCUCGUGCUUGGUGUUGGACGGCCGGUCGAGCGAUCGACCCCUCCUAAAGACAAUGACGGCGGCCUGCGGUUCCCCCGGUACACUGAGCUUUUCACGAGAGUACGUAUCGGACAAGGGCACCCGGGACCCGGUCCUCUCCUUUCACAAGGAAACUUCUAU